UGCCUACGGGGGGCUGCAGUGGGGAAUAUUGGGCAAUGGGCGAAAGCCUGACCCAGCGACGCCGCGUGGGUGAUGAAGGCCUUCGGGUUGUAAAACCCUUUCGUGCGGAAAGAACAGUCCUGUAGCGAAUAACUACGGGAUUUGACGGUACCGCAGGAAGAAGCACCGGCUAACUCCGUACCAGCAGCCGCGGUAAUACGGAGGGUGCAAGCGUUGUUCGGAAUUAUUGGGCGUAAAGGGCGCGUAGGUGGUUGUGAUAGUCAGAUGUGAAAUCCUUCGGCUUAACCGAAGAACUGCAUCUGAAACUUCAUAGCUCGAGUACAGGAGAGGGAAACGGAAUUCCCGGUGUAGAGGUGAAAUUCGUAGAUAUCGGGAGGAACACCAGUGGCGAAGGCGGUUUCCUGGCCUGAUACUGACGCUGAGGCGCGAAAGCGUGGGGAGCAAACAGGAUUAGAUACCCUUGUAGUC
rnacentral:rRNA from 1 species